rnacentral:rRNA from 1 species
AUAGCGUAUAUUAAAGUUGUUGUGGUUAAAAAGCUCGUAGUUGGAUCUCAGUUCGAGUCAGACGGUCCACUUGCCAGUGGUUACUGUUUGGACUGAACACUUUAUCGAGUUGUCCUAUGGUGCUCUUCACCGAGUGUCAUAGGCGAUCGAUACGUUUACUUUGAAAAAAUUAGAGUGCUCAAAGCAGGCUACACAAGCCCGAAUAAUGUUGCAUGGAAUAAUGGAAUAGGACCUCGGUUCUAUUUUGUUGGUCUUCGGAAUCUGAGGUAAUGAUUAAGAGGGACAGACGGGGGCAUUCGUAUUGCGACGCUAGAGGUGAAAUUCUUGGACCGUUGCAAGACGAACAAAAG